rnacentral:lncRNA from 1 species
CCGAAACCGGCCAAACCGGCUAAACCGCCCCGAUCAUGCCCAUUUUUCGGCGUUCAAACCGCCGCACGGCUACCCCCCCAUCCCGAUGCCCCCGGACCCCUGGUCCCGUGGGACCUGACGGAAACGGAAUCGGAUGCUCGGAUCAUGAGAUACGCCCAAAACCGUCUAAACCUACUGAGCGCACCCCGAACAUGCCCAUUUUUCGGCGUUCAAACCGCCGCGCGGCUACCCCCCCAUCCCGAUGCCCCCGGAACCCUGGUCCCGCGGGACCCGACGGAAACGGAAUCGGAGGCCCGGAUCAUGAGUUACGGCCCCUUCUUUGCGGCCCCCGAGGACGUGCGCUAUAGCCCCCCGGGCCACCCCCCAUCCGGCCGCACCCGCCCGAACCCCACCGAACGCGUCCGCCGCCUCCCGAUCCCGCCCCGCGGUCCCCCCCGGGGCAUGAACCAGCCCCCGGCGGGCCGAAACCGGCCAAACCGGCUAAACCGCCCCGAUCAUGCCCAUUUUUCGGCGUUCAAACCGCCGCACGGCUUCCCCCCCAUCCCGAUGCCCCCGGACCCCUGGUCCCGUGGGACCUGGCGGAAACGGAAUCGGAUGCUCGGAUCAUGAGAUACGCCCAAAACCGUCUAAACCUACUGAGCGCACCCCGAACAUGCCCAUUUUUCGGCGUUCAAACCGCCGCGCGGCUACCCCCCCAUCCCGAUGCCCCCGGAACCCUGGUCCCGCGGGACCCGACGGAAACGGAAUCAGAGGCCCGGAUCAUGAGUUACGGCCCCUUCUAUGCGGCCCCCGAGGACGUGCGCUAUAGCCCCCCGGGCCACCCCCCAUCCGGCCGCACCCGCCCGAACCCCACCGAACGCGUCCGCCGCCUCCCGAGCCCGCCCCGCGGUCCCUCCCUGGGCACGAACCGGGCCCCGGCGGGCCGAAACCGGCCAAACCGGCUAAACCGCCCCGAUCAUGCCCAUUUUUCGGCGUUCAAACCGCCGCACGGCUACCCCCCCAUCCCGAUGCCCCCGGACCCCUGGUCCCGUGGGACCUGACGGAAACGGAAUCGGAUGCUCGGAUCAUGAGAUACGCCCAAAACCGUCUAAACCUUCUGAGCGCACCCCGAACAUGCCCAUUUUUCGGCGUUCAAACCGCCGCGCGGCUACCGCCCCAUCCCGAUGCCCCCGGAACCCUGGUCCCGCGGGACCCGACGGAAACGGAAUCGGAGCCCUGGUUCAUGAGUUCCGGCCCAUUCUAUGCGGCCCCCGAUGACGUGCUCUAUCGCCCCCCGGGCCACCCCCCAUCUGGCCGCACCCGCCCGAACCCCACCGAACGCGUCCGCCGCCUCCCGAUCCCGCCCCGCGGUCCCCCCCGGGGCAUGAACCGCCCCCCGGCGGGCCGAAACCGGCCAAACCGGCUAAACCGCCCCGAUCAUGCCCAUUUUUCGGCGUUCAAACCGCCGCACGGCUACCCCCCCAUCCCGAUGCCCCCGGACCCCUGGUCCCGUGGGACCUGACGGAAACGGAAUCGGAUGCUCGGAUCAUGAGAUACGCCCAAAACCGUCUAAACCUACUGAGCGCACCCCGAACAUGCCCAUUUUUCGGCGUUCAAACCGCCGCGCGGCUACCCCCCCAUCCUGAUGCCCCCGGAACCCUGGUCCCGCG